rnacentral:rRNA from 2 species
GGACGGGUGAGUAACACGUGGGAACGUGCCCUUUGGUUCGGAACAACUCAGGGAAACUUGAGCUAAUACCGGAUGUGCCCUUCGGGGGAAAGAUUUAUCGCCAUUGGAGCGGCCCGCGUAGGAUUAGCUAGUUGGUGGGGUAAAGGCUCACCAAGGCUACGAUCCUUAGCUGGUCUGAGAGGAUGAUCAGCCACAUUGGGACUGAGACACGGCCCAAACUCCUACGGGAGGCAGCAGUGGGGAAUCUUGCGCAAUGGGCGAAAGCCUGACGCAGCCAUGCCGCGUGAAUGAUGAAGGUCUUAGGAUUGUAAAAUUCUUUCACCGGGGACGAUAAUGACGGUACCCGGAGAAGAAGCCCCGGCUAACUUCGUGCCAGCAGCCGCGGUAAUACGAAGGGGGCGAGCGUUGCUCGGG